rnacentral:rRNA from 1 species
UACGUAGGGACCAAGCGUUGUUCGGAUUUACUGGGCGUAAAGGGCGCGUAGGCGGCGCAACAAGUCACUUGUGAAAUCUCCGGGCUUAACCCGGAGCGGUCAAGUGAUACUGUCGUGCUAGAGUGCGGAAGGGGCUACUGGAAUUCUCGGUGUAGCGGUGAAAUGCGCAGAUAUCGGGAAGAACACCCGUGGCGAAGGCGGUUCUCUGGGACGGUACUGACGCUGAGACGCGAAGGCCAGGGGAGCAAACGGG